rnacentral:piRNA from 1 species
UUUAUAAUUGACUUAUACCCAGGGA